rnacentral:sRNA from 1 species
AGGUUCCGGUGUCGCAGAUUUUUGAGUGCUUCGCAUUCUGCGACGAAGCUCUUGUGUGCUCCUGGAGUUUGAAGUUUCAGUACCUUCACAGCAAUAUAUUCUGCACUUUCAUCAGUUUGACCAUCUAUUUUUCCUUUGUACACAGAGCCAAAUGUCCCAGAACCCAACAAAUUGGUUGCAGAGAAUCCCUCUGUUGCUUUAGCCAACUGCGAAAAAGAUAUCGAACGAUGCGCUUGCAUUGAGGUUUCUGAAGAGUUUUUGGUGUUAUUUUUCUU